AUUGAACGCUGGCGGCGUGCCUAACACAUGCAAGUCGAGCGGUAACAGGUGUAGCAAUACAUGCUGACGAGCGGCGGACGGGUGAGUAACGCUUGGGAAUCUGCCUAUUAGUGGGGGACAACCCGGAGAAACUCGGGCUAAUACCGCAUACGCUCUACGGAGGAAAGCCGGGGACCGCAAGGCCUGGCGCUAAUAGAUGAGCCCAAGUCGGAUUAGCUAGUUGGUAGGGUAANGGCCUACCAAGGCGACGAUCCGUAACUGGUCUGAGAGGACGACCAGUCACACCGGAACUGAGACACGGUCCGGACUCCUACGGGAGGCAGCAGUGGGGAAUAUUGGACAAUGGGCGAAAGCCUGAUCCAGCGACGCCGCGUGGGUGAAGAAGGCCUGCGGGUUGUAAAGCCCUUUCAGCUCCGACGAAGCGAGAGUGACGGGUAGGAGCAGAAGAAGCACCGGCCAACUACGUGCCAGCAGCCGCAGU
rnacentral:rRNA from 1 species